UGAUAUGAUGAGCUCAACACUUGGAAUCUCGUUCGGCUGAAUCUCCGCUGUUGAGAAUCGGAAUCUGAGCAUC